GGCCCAAAUUCGAAGUAAGGUAAAUUAGUAAGGUCAGCUGGUCCUACUAUUCUACUGUACUUCGAAAUUGGGCCC
rfam:Haemonchus contortus, ISE/inbred ISE, WGS project CAVP01000000 data, contig: Hcontortus_35604